rnacentral:lncRNA from 1 species
AUGUAAAAUAUUACCUUCUUCAUUCUUUGCAGGAACAAAAUGACGAUGUGAUUUCUUUAGACAACGAUUCAUUCCUCAACAGUCUGGAUAGUGCCUCGUUCACUAACCUCUGGCCCUCCACUGAUAACUCCCGUCGCACCAAUUUGUGACAUCGGCUACGUCCAUUCUCUGCAAGUCUGCUUACUUUAGAGAAUGUCCCUCCACUUUUGAUGAAACUAAACCAAAACUAUGAAAAUGUGAACUUUAUAAAAUUACUACUACUACCACUACUAAGACUACUCUUACUACUACCACUCAACUAAUUCCUCCAUUUCAUUUGGUUCCACCAAAAAAAUCACACAACACACUCAAACUCAAUGUAUAUGUCUGUAUGUAUAGAAUUGUAUUUGUUUGUGUGCAUAUAUAUAUAUAUAUACAUAUAUAUAUGCACACAAACAUAAGUAAUGUGUGUGUAUAUAUAUAUAUAUAUAAAGUUGUUAAAUUUCCAGUUCCCAUAUUUUUGCAUUUCCAGCCUGGAUUAUUUCUCACGAUUUCUGCCUUGAUGUGUCAAAAACGUGAGCUUGUGUCCAGCACAUCCAUGUAGUGGCGACCACCGUGAACAUCAAUGGAGUCGAGAUGAAACUGCAGAAAGAUUGAAGAGAAUAACUCUUACUGGGAAAGUUGUUAAAACAAUGUGUGUGUGUAUGUGUAUAUAUAUAUAUAUACACACACACAUUCUUCAACUGGCCUUAGUCAUUGGACUGUGGCCAUGCUGGGGCAUCACUUUCAGAGAUUUUUCCUCAUCAACCAUCCACAGUGAGCGCCCCCUACCCCACCCAAUUAUUUUAUCAUUUUAACUAUUAAAACCAUUCGAAACCUU